CAGUAGCCGCGGUAAUACGAAGGGUGCAAGCGUUAAUCGGAAUUACUGGGCGUAAAGCGUGCGUAGGCGGUGAGUUAAGUCUGCUGUGAAAUCCCCGGGCUCAACCUGGGAAUGGCAGUGGAUACUGGCAGGCUAGAGUAUGGCAGAGGGGGGUGGAAUUCCGCGUGUAGCAGUGAAGUGCGUAGAUAUGCGGAGGAACACCGAUGGCGAAGGCAGCCCCCUGGGCCAAUACUGACGCUCAUGCACGAAAGCGUGGGGAGCAAACAGGAUUAGAUACCCGCGUAGUCCCUGUCUCUUAUAC
rnacentral:rRNA from 1 species